rnacentral:rRNA from 1 species
UGCAAGUCGAACGGUAGAGUAGCAAUACUUGAGAGUGGCGGACGGGUGAGUAAUGCUUAGGAAUCUGCCUAUUAGUGGGGGACAACAUCUCGAAAGGGAUGCUAAUACCGCAUACGUCCUACGGGAGAAAGCAGGGGACCUUCGGGCCUUGCGCUAAUAGAUGAGCCUAAGUCGGAUUAGCUAGUUGGUGGGGUAAAGGCCUACCAAGGCGACGAUCUGUAGCGGGUCUGAGAGGAUGAUCCGCCACACUGGGACUGAGACACGGCCCAGACUCCUACGGGAGGCAGCAGUGGGGAAUAUUGGACAAUGGGGGGAACCCUGAUCCAGCCAUGCCGCGUGUGUGAAGAAGGCCUUUUGGUUGUAAAGCACUUUAAGCGAGGAGGAGGCUACCGAGAUUAAUACUCUUGGAUAGUGGACGUUACUCGCAGAAUAAGCACCGGCUAACUCUGUGCCAGCAGCCGCGGUAAUACAGAGGGUGCAAGCGUUAAUCGGAUUUACUGGGCGUAAAGCGCGCGUAGGUGGCCAAUUAAGUCAAAUGUGAAAUCCCCGAGCUUAACUUGGGAAUUGCAUUCGAUACUGGUUGGCUAGAGUAUGGGAGAGGAUGGUAGAAUUCCAGGUGUAGCGGUGAAAUGCGUAGAGAUCUGGAGGAAUACCGAUGGCGAAGGCAGCCAUCUGGCCUAAUACUGACACUGAGGUGCGAAAGCAUGGGGAGCAAACAGGAUUAGAUACCCUGGUAGUCCAUGCCGUANACGAUGUCUACUAGCCGUUGGGGCCUUUGAGGCUUUAGUGGCGCAGCUAACGCGAUAAGUAGACCGCCUGGGGAGUACGGUCGCAA